AAAAGGCUGGGCAGACAUGGCAGUCUGGUAAUCGUUGUAAUCAGUCCCUGGAAGUCUUAUCAGACAUAGCAGAUGUGCCAUGAUGGUAAUGGACUGAACCUCUGAACUGCAAGCCAGUCCCAGUUAAAUGUUGUCCUUUAGAAAUGUUGCCAUGAUCAUGAUGUCUCUUCAUAGCAAUGGAAGCCCUAAGAAGUUUGUGCCAGGAACUGGGGUAUUGCUGUUGAUAGGCCUGACUAUGCUUUUGUUUGGAGGAAUAAGGAACCUUUGGGACUUUGGACUAGAAAAGCAAAUGGACAUUUUAAGCAGGGCUUCUGGGCCAUCCUAGCAGCAAGGAAGACAGUGGUGCUGAGGGUGAUUUGAACUGUAGGGGCCUGGCCCGUGAGGUUUCAGAGAAGAAUUUUAGUGUGUUGCCUUGGCUGUGGUGUAUCUUCAAAGCAAUAGAACGGUGUCUAAAACAGCAAUGAACAAUC
ensembl:lincRNA 9430002A10Rik RIKEN cDNA 9430002A10 gene